ensembl:lncRNA MCPH1-AS1 MCPH1 antisense RNA 1
ACUGCGCAUGCUCCCCAGCUGGGCCGGCUGCGGACGCGGGAAGGGAGGUGGUGGCGACUGACGGAACUGGGUGAAGCUUCUGCAGAUGGCCUCCCCUCUCUGCGACUGGUUCCUUAUCGAGGCAAUGGAGAUGUGGACUGCGGUGACUGAUCAAGCCUCACAUAUCUACUGAAUCAGGAAGCCCGAAGGCCUGAGGCCUCCCGAGUGGCCCCAUGGGAGCGUCGUGCAUUUUUCUGGGCCCGAUGACGAUGCUGGCCUGGCGGGGGACUUGGCUGACCCGGCCUCCGCACAGGUGGACUAGUUCACAGAGCUUGGCCACUGGGGGGCUGCUGGCAGGCGAGACAAACAUCGCUGGCUGGUCGGCAAAGAGGGUUCCGCGGUACGGCCCUGCAGACAAGUGGCACUCGCUUCGGCACAGCUGUGGGGCAGACAGAGAUAGAAUUACAGAGGUGGGACCACUCCAGUCUCCAUAGCGUAGGCGAACUGUUGCAGUUUACUUCCUUUUUUAUGAAAAGAAUAGACUGAAUGUAAGGCUGCCAUGCUCCUGUGAAUUUUGAAUUCUGAGAAUCCAGAGAAGAUGAUGACAUUAAUGACAUAAAACUGACGUUUUCUGAAGUAGCCAUGCGUAAAACUCCAAGGAAACAAAUUAGAAAAAAAAAAGUGUAGGCCUUUGAAUUAUUCCAAAGCCUCAAACAAAAUAUUGAAAAGCAACUGUUAGCACAGCAGAGCCAUAGCUAGGCUGAACUCUCACUAAAGUAACUUGGUGACGUGUGCAAGUGACGGCAAGAUUCUAAUGCACUGCAAAUGCCGGCUGUGCUGGGAGAGCGUCAUUCAAUCCAGCGCGCUCCAGGCUGUUGGCAGAAAAGGACUUUUAUAGGAUGUAAGAAAUGCUGUAAAUCCAAUACCAUGGUCUGGACGGGGAAAGGGAGAGUGAGGCAAUGCAAAAGUAGAAUUCCUAGAGCCAUUCCCGAAACACGCUGGGUUUGGGGGAGAGAGGUGUCUCGAGAUUGUUUCAAUGAGCUGUUGGGAAACAUUUCAGAAGCAGGGAUGUGAAGCUGCUCUGCUUCUCAUUCUGGCAAUGUGUGGUCAUCUGUUUGACUCAGAGGACCGCGGGAAGGCCCAGUUAUUCUGAACACGCAUUUUCCUAACUACGGGUUGGUAAAGACUUCUUCAGUGUACACACCCUGCGAGAUGCUAUGGGUUAUGUGCCAUCCACGUUUUGUUUUGCGUAUUUUCCCUGCUUAUUUUUCCUACAAUAUCUGAAAUUAAUGGUUCACACAAAUUAGAGAUUUGAGGGGAUGUAUUUCGGGGAAGGGAUGAAGGGACCUUCUCAGAGGAGUAUAACCUGGGGUGGGGUGACGUCGGGGUCCUCUCAGUCAGGGGCAGCAGGCAAGGCUGACCUCGGAGGCAGGGGUAGGGUGCAGGUUGGGGGAAGAGCAGCAAAGAGUAAAUUCCACAGCCCACAUCACUCACAAAAUCAGAGAAACAGUGAACUAUUCUUCUGCUAGGUUUUCCUACUACUGUAAUAUUUAACAAAAGAGGAUCCUACUGUGAAAAUAUAGCUCCAGCAUCAAUGGAGUAGAUCCGAUACACUUAUAUAUGCUCAUGGAAUUUGCUUGUUCUCUCCCCUUGUGUUGAAUUUUAUAGCAUAAUAAAUACCGAGCCUCAGCAGCUUUCAUGUGCCUUGCAGGAGACAGUGGCAGCAGGGGCAAAUGAUUCUUCCUGGAUGGUGACUUUGUGAGUAUUUUUGGCACUAUAUCCUGCGAGAUAGGCAGUGGAAAGGGCUACUGAUUUAAUUUGCAGACAAAGAGACUGAGCUGAUGCAAGGCAAGAGAUUUGCUUUGGCAAAUGGUGAGUCACACUGCAAGAAAAAGCCAUGGUCCCUAGCAUCACGGGGCCAAGCUGCAUGGAAAUGGAAUCAAGAAAGAGUAUCUUUCAUUUUAAAGUAGGACACACAUACAUUCAAAAAGUUAAUUAUGAAAGUAUCUGGCCGGGCACGGUGGCUCACACCUGUAAUCCCAGCACUUUGCGAGGCUGAGGCGGGCAGGUCACAAGGUCAGGAGAUCAAGAUCAUCCUGGCUAACAUGGUGAAACCCUGUCUCUACUAAAAAUACAAAAGAUUAGCCAGGCGUGGUGGUGGGCACCUGUAGUCCCAGCUACUCGGGAGGCUGAGGCAGGAGAAUGGUGUGAACCCGGGAGGUGGAGCUUGCAGUGAGCUGAGAUUGUGCCACUGCACUCCAGCCUGGGCAAUAAGAGCAACACUCUAUCUAAAGAAAAAAAAGGCUGGGCGCAGUGGCUCACGCCUGUAAUCCCAGCACUUGGGGAGGCUGAGGUGAGUGGAUCACUUGAGGUCAGGAGUUCGAGACCGGUCUGACCAACAUGGAGAAACCCCAUCUCUACUAAAAAUACAAAAACUAGCCGAGCAUUUUGGUAGGCGCCUGUAAUCCCAGCUACUCGGGAGGCUGAGGCAGGAGAAUCGCUUGAAUCUGGGAGGUGGAGGUGGCAGUGAGCAGAGAUGGCGCCACUGCGCUCCAGCCUGGGCGACACAGCAGGACUCUGUCUCAAACAAUAAAAUAAAGUAUUUGAUUGUUGAAGCAAUACGGAAG